GUGGGAAUGGAACAUAGCUGUGCUAUGUCGUUUAGAAACUGUGCUGACAAAAAGGCUUCUACUUCGUUUUCCGUCAAGCAAAGUAAAAGAGGCGACCAAAAACUGGACACCUGAGGCUAACAAGCACAGAAGCUAGCUGGAGGCCGAGACGGGACUUUGGCUCUUCCCUGGCGAAGGAAAGGCGACCAGGGAGGCGACGUGUCUGCACCAGAACCUGACAAUGCAGAACUGAGGAGCUAGCUGCUGGCUGGAUGUGGUCAGGUAUCGCGGUCAGGUAUCUGAAGGUGCAGUGCACUUCGGUGGGAACAUAACAGGCGCAUGAUUUGGGGCAG